CAGGUGAGGCCGUUCCGAGCCGCUGAGGACCAGGGGAAUCCACCGGGGUUCAGGCUGCUGCCCUCGGGGAACGUGAAAACCUGUGGGGCAGAAGCUGGUAAAAUCUGCAGGGGGUCCAUGGCAGCUGUGCUGGCCUGUGGUCCCUUCUUCCGCGGUGAAAACCACUGGAUUUCUCCGUAAAGGAGUUCCCUGUGAGCUAGGAUCCUUCUGCCGUGUGGCUGCUACGGGACAUGGAAUGGAACUCAUCAAAAUAUUGUGUUCUAUAUCUUACAGAUGAACUCUGCUGGGUUAUCCUGAUUACCAUCUUGUCUGUUGUUCCUGGUCUCUGUGAGUAGCCCCUGGGUCAUCCUUUAUCCCUAGCAGGAUGCCGUGCCAGUUGUCCAGCCUGCUUCCUUUCCCUUGCUCUCCCACAUCAGGCUUCUGGAAACUGGAUCUGGACAAGGAACCAACUUGAGACGAAUCCAUAGGACCUCCUUAUAAAGUUUGAGCGUACUAAAAAAUGGC